GUAUGCGAUCAUACCAGCACUAAAGCACCGGAUCCCAUCAGAACUCCGAAGUUAAGCGUGCUUGGGUGAGAGUAGUACUAGGAUGGGUGACCUCCUGGGAAGUCCUCGUGUUGCAUUCC
rnacentral:rRNA from 1 species